rnacentral:lncRNA from 1 species
CUUGAGAUACAUUUUCACGAGUAAAUAAAUUGUAUACCAAUUUUUGUUGAGGUGUCUGCCUGGCGGGGACGCUGAUGAAUUUCCAAUAAUUGCCGCUCGCAUUAAUCAAGAUAUUCACACACUCGGCGACACAUGGAAGAGAUGCGAGAUAUGGGAUACAAGCUGCAAGCGGUGAAGAUGGGUAGAUACUACAUUCGCCUCGUGCGUAACGCGCCGCAACUUGUCAUAAUGUGGCAUUAUGGUCGGGCUUUAGGCCCGUUUGUGAUUUUCCAUUGGGGUAGAGCGAAGAGAGCGCCGAUCUUGUCGAUGAUUUAUGGAACGCUUCGCUUUGUUUGCGCGAUACAAAACUCUCCUCCACGCUAGAGUCUGCAGCGGGUGGAAGGGAGGGGACGGGCAGGGGACGGGCAGGGUUAGUGGAACGCGGUAUGAGAGUGCGUGUGGGGGCGGGGGCUGCACUUGUAGAUGGUAUCGGUUUAUGGUCUCUCGCCUGCCUCGUUUUUUGAUUGAUUGGUCGAGCGCACUUGGAGUGGGGCAGGGGAUGGUUGUUUGCCUCCAGGGGCGGCCGAUACUCGCGUGUGUCGCUCUGUUACUU